rnacentral:rRNA from 1 species
AUUGAACGCUGGCGGCAUGCUUUACACAUGCAAGUCGAACGGUAACAGGGUGCUUGCACCGCUGACGAGUGGCGAACGGGUGAGUAAUGCAUCGGAACGUACCCAGUCGUGGGGGAUAACGUAGCGAAAGUUACGCUAAUACCGCAUACGGCCUGAGGGAGAAAGCGGGGGACCGUAAGGCCUCGCGCGAUUGGACCGGCAGAUGUCGGUUGAGCUAGUUGGUAGGGUAAAGGCCUACCAAGGCGACGAUCCGUAGCGGGUCUGAGAGGAUGAUCCGCCACACUGGGACUGAGACACGGCCCAGACUCCUACGGGAGGCAGCAGUGGGGAAUUUUGGACAAUGGGCGAAAGCCUGAUCCAGCCAUGCCGCGUGAGUGAAGAAGGCCUUCGGGUUGUAAAGCUCUUUCAGAUGGAAAGAAAACGUACAGGUUAAUACCUUGUGCGGAUGACGGUACCAUCAGAAGAAGCACCGGCUAACUACGUGCCAGCCGCCGCAGUAAUAC